UGAACUCGGCCGGAGUGAGAGGAGCUCCGAGCAGUGUGUCCCGGGCGGUGGCCUGAGAGAGUAGAGAGAGCGAGAGCGGAGCGUUGUGAGAGAGGGAGAGGGGAGCUGACAAAGUUGACCGAAACACGUGUUCUCCUCAUUCCUCCACCUCAUCCCAUCUCCCCUUUCCCCUUUUUUCGUCCUACUUUCCCUCAUUUCUCACUCCUCCCAACACUUGGCCUGUGUCACCUUCCCCGUGUGUCAAGAAGUGUUUUACUACCAUCUCGAGCGUCUGUCUGUCUGUCUGUCUGUCUGUCUGUCUGUCUACUUCCUGGCCUUCCUGAAGUGACUUGGAGGCUUCUAACCGGUUCUACUUGCAUCAUAAAACGGAGGAAGAGCCGCACAGUGAGGACCAGCGCGACCUGAGUUAUUCCUGUGGCGUGUGACGGUCGACGCAGCGGACACGAGCAAGGGGGAAGGAACGAACAGAAUAUAGAACGGACUGAAAAUAGUGUGCAGUGUACGACCAUAACGCACCCAUGAGUCUCACUCAGGAAGCGGCAGGAGUCACAUGGGCUUAGAUCAUAAUGCCCAAAGUCUGCCAGUGAAGGAAACAACAGAACCAGAGCCUCACUACUCUUCCCAGUGCUCUGUCCCGCUCUGAAAGACAUGGGUUAAGUCCUUCCACUCUCUCUGUAGCCAAGUAUCCCGCCCGUACCAAACCCUGGAGCCCACAUCCACGCCCACACAGCCACCCGCCCUCCUAAGUGUUGUUUUGAGUUAGUGCGAGAUUGUAAAGCGGCGAGGGAUAGCGAGACGAGGACCAGGAAGAGGACAGUCACACUUUUAGUCACACUCAGCAAGCCUUCAAGAUGAACAGCGUGCAGAGUGGUGGCGACACUUCGGGGCCUAAGAAGGGCAAGGAGGAGGUGAGUAA